UAGGAUGUCGUCUAAAGGAAAGACUUUCUUUUUUUGGUGAGAAAAAUAGUUGUUCGAUUCAACUCAUCCUAG